rnacentral:lncRNA from 1 species
GAACAGUUUUAGGAAUGGGAGAAAAGUUACUGAUAAACAUUUUGGUCUGGCUGAGGAGGUAAAGUUUCUGUUUCAGGGCAUUUCAGUCCAUCACAACAGUUGCUUAAGGGUCACCAGAAUUCAGUGGAAAUCAGAUCCAAGAGAAAUCAAGACUGUGCAUGUCCCUUUGCUCAUGCUUGGCCCAAAUAAGUUCAGCUACUAGAGGAAACAGCAGCAAAUCAUACCCUUGCCUGCUAAAGGCAAUUGAGUUGCUGGAGCUAACAGCUGUCACCAAAGGCUUGGUUACAAAUGCUCUGUUGAUUGUAAAAAUGCCCACAAAGAACCGUCAAGUGGUUGAAACAAAGUCAUUCAAACUUUCCAUCAAAGUUAAAUGUGCUCGCAGUUUCACUCACCCACAGGACCGGCCGGGUGAAACCUGCCUGAAGCAGCAGGUCCAAGCAGCACUAAAGAGAGCAGACACAGGGGCGCUACUUUCUUCCAACUGGCAGGAGCUCACUGGCAGCACCAGCAGCAGCACCAUAUUCUGAGCUGCAAACUACUACUGGUAAGAUAAGAGGUCAGCUGCAGCUGUAGAAAUCAGUGCAUUCUCCCAGCACCUUCUGUACUUCUCUCUUCAUGUCCUUGGAGAACACUGUCCAUUGUAGUAGUAACACGAUGUUUACAUGACAAUUACUUGUAGAUCUCAAAGCUCUUCACAAGAGGCAACAAAUAUAUUAUCCUGUUUUCAAGAUAUGGAAAUGAAGUGACUUAAGGAGAAUCAGUGGUUAUUGCAGGAAAACAAUCCAGGUUUCUUGAGUUGUAGUCAAGAUGCUUUUACUGUCAUAAUAUUUGUUAAAGCGUUUCAGACAAUUGUAUAUGGAUUUGAGCACAAAAACUUACUUAACACACGGGCACAUGCCUAUACUGUUUACCUCAAGAAAAAGGGUGAAUUUUCUCCUAUGCGCUCAUUAACAAUAUAUAAUUAUUGUUGUAAAAUGCAGUAGUACAUAAAUAUAAAUUGUAUAGACAAAUUUCCACCUCUUAAAAACUUCAGACGCUAUUAAAAUAAGUCCUACCCUUGCACUGGUAUUCGAUCAAAAAAGGAUCAGGGAGAGGUUACUUCAAGACAAAAACAUUUUCAAAUAACUCUAUAAAAGAGAAAAGGUAAAAUACAUAGCCCCAAACAUACAGCUCUUUAAGAGUUUAAGAUAGCUUCAUUCACAAUAUUUCUCCUGAAGAUAAAGUGUGCUUUUACAUUGUCUUCAAUGUCUUUGAUUGCAAAAUAUCAGUACAGAUUUUAGAAAAAGUCUGUCUCAUUAAUAGUCAAAUGUUAGAUAUUGGAAUGAAAGCUUCAAUGAUGCUAGCACUCCAGAGUAAUAGAAAUGUUUUUAUAGCAGUACGGAAUACCAAGAUCGGUGAUUUCUGUACGGUUUUGUAAACCAUAACAAAAUUUAACAAACUGCCAAAAGGAAAGCUG